rnacentral:rRNA from 1 species
UACGUAGGGGGCAAGCGUUGUCCGGAAUCAUUGGGCGUAAAGCGCGUGUAGGCGGCUCGGUAAGUCUGCUGUGAAAGUCCAGGGCUCAACCCUGGAAAGCCGGUGGAUACUGUCGGGCUCGAGUCCGGAAGAGGCGAGUGGAAUUCCUGGUGUAGCGGUGAAAUGCGCAGAUAUCAGGAGGAACACCGAUGGCGAAGGCGGCAUCCUGGACCGGUAUUGACACUGAGGCGCGAAAGCCAGGGGAGCAAACGGG